rnacentral:rRNA from 1 species
GACGAACGCUGGCGGCGUGCCUAAUACAUGCAAGUAGAACGCACAGGAUGCACCGUAGUUUACUACACCGUAUCCUGUGAGUUGCGAACGGGUGAGUAACGCGUAGGUAACCUGCCUGGUAGCGGGGGAUAACUAUUGGAAACGAUAGCUAAUACCGCAUAAGAACAUUUACUGCAUGGUAGAUGUUUAAAAGGUGCAAGAGCAUCACUACCAGAUGGACCUGCGUUGUAUUAGCUAGUUGGUGAGGUAACGGCUCACCAAGGCAACGAUACAUAGCCGACCUGAGAGGGUGAUCGGCCACACUGGGACUGAGACACGGCCCAGACUCCUACGGGAGGCAGCAGUAGGGAAUCUUCGGCAAUGGGGGGAACCCUGACCGAGCAACGCCGCGUGAGUGAAGAAGGUUUUCGGAUCGUAAAGCUCUGUUGUUAAGGAAGAACGUGUGUGAGAGUGGAAAGUUCACACAGUGACGGUACUUAACCAGAAAGGGACGGCUAACUACGUGCCAGCAGCCGCGGUAAUACGUAGGUCCCGAGCGUUGUCCGGAUUUAUUGGGCGUAAGGCGAGCGCAGGCGGUUAGAUAAGUCUGAAGUGAAAGGCAGUGGCUCAACCAUUGUAGGCUUUGGAAACUGUUUAACUUGAGUGCAGAAGGGGAGAGUGGAAUUCCAUGUGUAGCGGUGAAAUACGUAGAUAUAUGGAGGAACACCGGUGGCGAAAGCGGCUCUCUGGUCUGUAACUGACGCUGAGGCUCGAAAGCGUGGGGAGCGAACAGG